ACCCGGCCCAAAUCCUCACCUUUCCUCUUUAUUCCAUUACCACAAACGGGUAACAACAGCAAUACACGACAACAACACAGCCACGGCAAAAACCCAUUCAACUACAACAUUCAACAACAGCACACAACAGCGAUUUCAACAUCAACAUCGACGACCACCCCAGCAAACAACGUCAAAAUCACCAACCGCUCCGACCCGUAAAUCAACCCGACACCAUCGGCAGACCCAACUUCGGCCAACAAUGACUAAUACCCGACCCAACACUGAAACUCAACCAACAAAGAUCCGAAAAUCACGGAACACUCUAUCUUUUCAUCUUAUCUCUGAAUUUUGAAUUUUGCAGGCCUAGGAGCCAUCUUUUUUGACUUUCUUGCUCAAGAUUGUGUGUUACAAAAUCCAAAAUCCAAUCCAAAUCAGAAUCCGAAUUUUAGGGAUAUGUCUUCUCUAUUUUUAAAGAGCAAAAUCAAUGUCUUCCCUUAUAAAUAGGGAUUGAGGGGAAGAAGGCAAGGAGGAGAGGGGGGAAGGCGCGUGCUUCUAACCUCAUGUAACCAAAAUCCGGAAAGACAACUCGAAAAAUCAAUUCUUUACGAAAUCGGUCGAACCCUAUCGAUUGGAAUCUAGUUUUGGCAGUGGUGAAAGUUUCGUCCUUGAAAACUCGGUAGUCCCAUUCGCUGUCCGAAAAAAGGCAUGAACUCGCUUGUCGAGUACCUCGGAUUUCCUUCUCUCACAUUUCGUUGGGUUAGACCAGACUUGCAUCGAGUCAAACCUCAGAUCCAAGUCCCUACGGGACUGAUUUCUCACUGGUAUACAAUUAUAUAUGGCUGGUAUACCUUGGAAGCAGCUGCUUCAUACUACUACACCGAGCAAAAAUAAAAAAAAUGAAUUGUGACGUCUUUGUGUCUGCCUAUGCAGAAAUAUUAAGUGAAGGGCAGCAAGUCCAUUCAUGUGGGUUUGAUGCUGGAACUUAAUGUGCACACUAUGCUUUAUUACUAUGCCAUUAAGGAAUGACAAAGGCAAAAGAAGGAAGGAUACACGAGUGAUAAUAAAGAUCCGAGAAAUAGUUAUCUUCAAACAAUUGAUGAAAGUGCACUUGUUACUUUAGAGUAGAAUUUUUUUAUAAUAGUCGUCAUUGAAACAACUAAGUUUUUUAUCUUAAACGGUUACAGUGUUACUUUUUGGAUGGUAAUUAACAUUUUAUGAAUUUCCUUAUUUUUAUUAUACAUACAUAUCUUCUGAAGAAA